UAGUGGAAGUGACGGGCAGUUUGUACACUUUCAUUUACAAUUUUCAAAAAAUUAUAAUCAAAUUUUUUUACUUUUAAAUUCAUUUUUAGUCUUUUUCAAGUCCAUUUUCACUUAAGAUUUUCUGAUUUACAAGUUUACUUUUCUGUAAUCUUCAUCUUUACCUGACUUAUUAAUUUAAAAAUUUUACUAAAGAAAAGUGUCUAUCUCUCAUUUAGACGGCGAUAUAAAAAAUGUGAAACUAAAAAAAGUAAGAUUAAAGGGGAUCUACUUUUACGCUCAUAAAUCUCUAAUUUGAAAGAAAGCCGCCAUAAAUUUUAGUUUAAUCCCUCUAAAUAAAACAUAAUUUCACUUCCAUAAUAGGGUAUC
rnacentral:rRNA from 1 species